CAGCAGCCGCGGGAAAACGAAGGGGGCUAGCGUUGUUCGGAAUUACUGGGCGUAAAGCGCACGUAGGCGGAUAUUUAAGUCAGGGGUGAAAUCCCGCAGCUCAACUGCGGAACUGCCUUUGAUACUGGGUAUCUUGAGUAUGGAAGAGGUUAGUGGAAUUGCGAGUGUAGAGGUGAAAUUCGUAGAUAUUCGCAGGAACACCAGUGGCGAAGGCGGCUAACUGGUCCAUAACUGACGCUGAGGUGCGAAAGCGUGGGGAGCAAACAGGAUUAGAUACCCGCGUAGUCCCUGUCUCUUAUAC
rnacentral:rRNA from 1 species